UCUAGUUUAUCCUGCUGGAGGUCACUGCUAUCAGGAUUCGAUUAAGCCAUGCAAGUCAGGGAGCAAUCCCGGCGUAAAGCUCAGUAACACACAGUCAACCUGCCCUAAGGUGGGGGAUAACCGCGGGAAACUGCGAAUAAUACCCCAUAGUUCAAAAAUGCUGGGAUGCGUUUUGAAUCAAAGAUUUAUCGCCCUAGGAUGGGACUGUGGCCUAUCAGACUGUUGGCGGGGUAACGGCCCACCAAAUCGGAGACGGGUACGGGUUGUGAGAGCAUCAGCCCGGAGAUGGGAACUGAGACAACGUUCCAGGUCCUACGGGACGCAGCAGGCGCGAAAACUUCGCAAUGCGGGAAACCGCGACGGGGGAAUCCUGAGUGCUUGCACAAUGUGCAAGCUUUUCUUGAGUCUAAACCGCUCUUGGAAUAAGGUCUGGGCAAGACCGGUGCCAGCAGCCGCGGUAACACCGGCGGAUCGAGUGGUGACCAUGAUUACUGGGCUUAAAGCGUUCGUAGCCUGAUGUGUACAUUUCUGGUGAAAUCUAGCGACUCAAUCGUUAGGCGUGCCCGAAACACGGCGCAUCUUGGAACCGGAAGAGGUUCGGAAUUGUGGGGGUAAGGGUAAAAUCUGUUGAUCCCCGCAGGACCACCGAUAGCGAAGGCAGCUAACCAGGACGGCUUCGACGGUGAGGGACGAAACCCUAGGUAGCGAACCGGAUUAGAUACCCGGGUAGUCUAGGGCGUAAACGAUGUCAGUCAGGUGUCGCGUUCAAUACGUUUGAAUUGCGGUGCCGAAGGGAAACCGUUAAACUGACCGCCUGGGGAGUACGGUCGCAAGGCUGAAACUUAAAGGAAUUGGCGGGGGGGCACCACAAGGGGUGAAGCUUGCGGUUUAAUUAGAUUCAACGCUGGAAAACUCACCAGGGGCGACGAUUGUAUGAGAGUCAAGCUGAUGACUUUACUCGAUAAGUCGAGAGGUGUUGCAUGGCCGCCGACAGCUCGUGUCGUGAGAUGUCAGGUUAAGUCCUGCAACGAGCGAGACCCACGCCGCCACUUGCUAAUCAUUUCUCCGGAAAGGAUGCACAGUGACGGGACUGCCCAUGAUAAAAGGGAGGAAGGGUGGGCGACGGUAGGUCAGUAUGGCCCGAAUCUCCUGGGCUACACGCGAGCUGCAAUGGUUGGGACAAUGGGAUGCCACGCCGAAAGGCGCAGCAAAUCCUCUAAACCCAGCCCUAGUUCGAAUUGAGGAUUGCAACCCAUCCUCAUGAAGAUGGAAUCCCCAGUAAUCGGAGUUCAACAGACUCCGGUGAAUACGUCCCUGCUCCUUGCACACACCGCCCGUCAAGCCAGCCGAAUGAGCUUUUGAUGAGGUAUGCGACAUUGUGCGCGUAACGAGUCAGAUGUUUGUAAGGGGGGCUAAGUCGUAACAAGGUA
rnacentral:rRNA from 1 species